UGUGACGGCGUGCCUUUUGCAUAAUGAACCUACGAGUUACUUUUUCCGGCAAGGUUAAGCAUCUUGAGAUGUGGAUCCGAAGCGAAAGCGAGUCUGAACAGGGCGGAUAGUCGGAAGGAGUAGACGCGAAACCAAGUGAUCUACCCUUGGGCAGGUUGAAGGUUAGGUAACACUAACUGGAGGACCGAACCGAUAAGCGUUGAAAAGCUUCCGGAUGACCUGAGGGUGGGGGUGAAAGGCUAAUCAAACUUGGAGAUAGCUCGUACUCCCCGAAAUGCAUUUAGGUGCAGCCUUGAGAGUUACUAAUGUGAGGUAGAGCGACUGAUAAGAUGCGAGGGCUUCACCGCCUAUCAAGUCUUGAUAAACUCCGAAUGCGCAUUAGUUCUAUCUCAGGAGUGAGGGCAUGGGUGCUAAGGUCCAUGUCCUAAAGGAGAAGAAUCCAGACCAUCAGCUAAGGUCCCCAAAUAAACACUAAGUUGAACUAACGAAGUCAGAUUGCUAAGACAGCUAGGAUGUUGGCUUGGAAGCAGCCAUUCAUUUAAAGAGUGCGUAACAGCUCACUAGUCGAGGAGUUUGGCGUGGAUAAUAAUCGGGCAUAAGUGUUUUACCGAAGCUAUGGGAUCCUAAUGGAUCGGUAGGGGAGCAUUCCACUCUGCGUUGAAGGCGAAGCGUGAGCUUUACUGGAGCGUGUGGAAAAGCAAAUGUAGGUAUAAGUAACGAUAAAGGGGGUGAGAAACCCCCUCGCCGCAAGACUAAGGUUUCCUGAUCAACGCUAAUCGGAUCAGGGUUAGUCGGGUCCUAAGGCUCAGCCGAACGGUGAGGCCGAUGGCAGAACAGGUUAAUAUUCCUGUACUACCUGUAAGAGUGAUGUGGAGACGGAGGAGUGACAACGCCGCGGACUGACGGAAUAGUCCGUUAAAGGGUGUAGAUGUUGAUUAUCCCAGGCAAAUCCGGGAUAAGAGUCGAACCUGACAGUAUACCAAUUUCCUCGGAAAACGGUAAUAGUGCGUGUAAACAUACUCCCAAGAAAAUCCGCUAAACUUAAUCUUAUAGGUACCCGUACCGUAAACGGACACACGUAGUCGGGUUGAA
rnacentral:rRNA from 1 species